GUGCUCACUUUGGCAGCACAUAAACUAAAACUGGAGUGAUACAGAAAAGAAUAUUAUGGUGUCUGUGUAAGGAUGACACAAAUUCAUGAAGCAUUUCAUCUACUU